rnacentral:rRNA from 1 species
AUUUCUUUUGAUUUUGGAGAAAUAAAAAUAUUGAAUUUUUUUAUACAUGCUAGUGAAAGCUAAUAAUUGAGUAAACGGAGAUUAUUCUUUUUUAUAUCAGGAAUAUUUAAAAAUAAUUUUUUCUUUUCCUAAGACAUAAAGUUAAUACCAUUCUUUAACUGAAACAAAGUUAAGUCAAAAAUUUUUGACAGCAGUAAAGAAAAUUAUACAAUUAAAUUAAUUUAGAUAUAGAAAAUUCUUUUUAAUUUUGUCUAAUAUAAGUGCCAGCAGACGCGGUUAUACUUAAAAAAUAAGUUUUUAUAUAAAAUAAAGGAAUAUGGGUAGUAAUUUUAUAUAAUAUUGUAUAAUUAAAAUUUUUGAAUUGGUAAAAUAAACAAAAAUAAUAUAAACAAAAGAAAAUAAAUUUUUAUAUAAAAAAAAAUUAACCAUGAAAAAAAAGCUAUUAAAUAGGAUUAGAUACCCUAGUAAACUUUUUUAUAAAUAAAUAUUAUUAUUAACUUGAAUAUUAUGCUUUUUCAAAAGUGAAAAUCUAAAAAUUUGGCUGUUUAUUUUUCUUGUUAGAGGAGUAUGUAAUUUAAUUCGAUAAUCCGCGAAAUACCUUUCCUAUUUUUGAAUCUCAAGUAUUGCAUGGUUGUCUUCAAUUUAAUUUUAUUAAUUAAAUAUAAUCCUUAAUUAGGAUUAAGUCAAAUAGUAUGGUCUAUAUAAAUAGGUAUUUUAUGUACUACAAUAAAUAAAUUAAUUAAAUUUAUUUAUGGAAUAUUAAUGUAACGUAAUAAAGAAAUAGAAUUUAACAGUAAAUAGAAAAUAGAAUGUUCUAUUGAAUUUGUUAAAAUAUGAGUACAAAUUGCCCGUCGUCUUUGUUGAUUAUAAAAAAAAACAGAGCAAGUCGUAACAUAGUGGGGGAAAGGGAACUUUUUCCUGUUUAAAUAA